rnacentral:rRNA from 1 species
CAGCAGCCGCGGUAAAACGUAGGGAGCGAGCGUUGUCCGGAAUCAUUGGGCGUAAAAAGCUCGUAGGCGGCUUGGUAAGUCGGAUGUGAAACCUCCAGGCUCAACCUGGAGUCGCCAUCCGAUACUGCCAUAGCUAGAGUCCGGUAGGGGCCCACGGAACUCCUGGUGUAGCGGUGAAAUGCGCAGAUAUCAGGAAGAACACCGGUGGCGAAGGCGACACACUGGCUCAUUACUGACGCUGAGGCUCGAAAGCGUGGGGAGCAAACAGGAUUAGAUACCCCCGUAGUCCCUGUCUCUUAUA